rnacentral:rRNA from 1 species
CAGCAGCCGCGGUAACACGGGGGGGGCAAGUGUUAUUCGGAAUGACUGGGCGUAAAGGGCACGUAGGCGGUGAAAAGGGUGGAAAGUGAAAGUCGCCAAAACACUGGCGGGGUGCUUUCUUGACCAUUUCACUUGAGUGAGAUAGGGGAGAGUGGAAUUUCGUGUGGAGGGAUCAAAUCCUAAGAUAUACGAAGGAACGCCAACCGCGAAGGCAGCUCUCUGGGUCCCCACUGACGCUGGGGUGCGAAAGCAUGGGGAGCAAACAGGAUCAGAUACCCCCGUAGUCCCUGUCUCUUAUACA